GGCCUGGUGGUGGAAUGGUAAUACACCUACUUUCCAUAUGUACUGUAGUACUAGUAUGACGAGUUUCCGCAGGUGGUCUUUGUUUGAAUCAAGGUCAAGCCA